CAAUGUCAGACCACGCUACGGACGUGGCUACGUCUAGGCGGAGAGUGGCAGGUCUGCGAUAGUGCCCCAGGAGGACUGGGU
rfam:West Nile virus isolate WNV-1/TS/BID-V4104/2005, complete genome